AAGAAAGCGAUGAUGGGAACAAGUAGCGGCUGUCUCCCUGGUGCAGAGAGCUGGCGGACGGUGCGAGCCAGUCCACAGGCAGGCGCGAAUUACCUCCCUGAGCAGCGAUGGCGAACGGUUUUCCUAGUAGCCAUCAGCCGGCUGACGCCGUUACCGAAAUGAGCGGGAAAGCGCGAAGCUUUCCAAGUAGGGUGGUACCGCGACGAACACUCGCCCCUUCA
rnacentral:ncRNA from 1 species